rnacentral:rRNA from 1 species
CCCAGACAGCCAGGAUGUUGGCUUAGAAGCAGCCAUCAUUUAAAGAAAGCGUAAUAGCUCACUGGUCGAGUCGGCCUGCGCGGAAGAUGUAACGGGGCUAAACCAUGCACCGAAGCUGCGGCAGCGAACGUAUCACUUAAAGCGAUUCAGCGGGUUACGAUUGACGGAGCGAAGCGACGUCAAAGCGUAUACAAAGUCGAGUCGGUUUAAGGAUACGUUCGUUGGGUAGGGGAGCGUUCUGUAAGCCUGUGAAGGUGGCCUGUGAGGGUUGCUGGAGGUAUCAGAAGUGCGAAUGCUGACAUAAGUAACGAUAAAGCGGGUGAAAAGCCCGCUCGCCGGAAGACCAAGGGUUCCUGUCCAACGUUAAUCGGGGCAGGGUGAGUCGACCCCUAAGGCGAGGCCGAAAGGCGUAGUCGAUGGGAAACGGGUUAAUAUUCCCGUACUUGGUGUUACUGCGAAGGGGGGACGGAGAAGGCUAUGUUGGCCGGGCGACGGUUGUCCCGGUUUAAGCGUGUAGGCUGGUUUUCCAGGCAAAUCCGGAAAAUCAAGGCUGAGGCGUGAUGACGAGGCACUACGGUGCUGAAGCAACAAAUGCCCUGCUUCCAGGAAAAGCCUCUAAGCAUCAGGUAACAUCAAAUCGUACCCCAAACCGACACAGGUGGUCAGGUAGAGAAUACCAAGGCGCUUGAGAGAACUCGGGUGAAGGAACUAGGCAAAAUGGUGCCGUAACUUCGGGAGAAGGCACGCUGACACGUAGGUGAAGUGAUUUACUCACGGAGCUGAAGUCAGUCGAAGAUACCAGCUGGCUGCAACUGUUUAUUAAAAACACAGCACUGUGCAAACACGAAAGUGGACGUAUACGGUGUGACGCCUGCCCGGUGCCGGAAGGUUAAUUGAUGGGG